rnacentral:antisense_RNA from 1 species
UUUCUUUUCUUUUUCUUUCCUCUCACUCAGCGUCCUGUGAUUCCAAAGAAAUGAGUCUCUGCUCUUUUUGGGCAGGAGAUAUCCUAGAAUGGACUCUGACCUAAGCAUCAAAAUUAAUCAUCAUAACGUUAUCAUUUUAUGGCCCCUUCUUCCUAUAUCUGGUAGCUUUUAAAUGAUGACCAUGUAGAUAAUCUUUAUUGUCCCUCUUUCAGCAGACGGUAUUUUCUUAUGCUACAGUAUGACUGCUAAUAAUACCUACAUACGUUAGAACCAUUCUGACUCCUCAAGAAUCUCAUUUAACUCUUAUUAUCAGUGAAUUUAUCAUCAUCCCCAAUUUUAGAUAAGGAAAUGGGGUUAGAAAGACCAAAUAACAUUUUUUCAACAUCAAAACACUAGCUUGAGAUCAAGCCCAGACUUGGACCUGUUGUCUGAAUUCCAAGCUUUUUGUUAUUUAUUGAUAUGUUUUGUUGUUUUCAUGCAAUAAUGCAAAUCUUAGCCCAAACAUUUUGUUAGUAGUACCAACUGUAAGUCACCUUAUCUUGAUACUUUGUCUUUAUGUAAACCUAAAUUAGAUCUGUUUUUGAUACUGAGGGAAAAACAAGGGACUCUAACACUAACCAGCCCGUAGUGUGUGGUCAACACUUUCGUUACUUUAGUAUACAUCACCCCAAUUGUUUGUCUUCACCACACACUUUGGAGUUAGGUAGUACUAUCUAUUUUUACAAAUAAGAAAAUCCAGGCACAAAGGGGUUGAUUAGCAAUUAUCUUUUGAAAAGCCUGUAGUGCUCAUCUGAAGAAGUGAUGGACCACCUCUUAUUUAGUGGACAGACAAUAACUAGUUGAGAAGACGGGAUUUUGUUGGCGGAAAAAAAAAUUUAUCAAAAGUCGUCUUCUAUCGGAGUUUUAUGAGAAACCCUAGCUCCUCAGUUCCACAGUGGGUAACUGCAAUUCAUUCUAGGUCUGCGAUAUUUCCUGCCUAUCCAUUUUGUUAACUCUUCAAUGCAUUCCACAAAUGCCUAAGUAUUCUUUAAUAAUGGUGGGUUUUUUUUUUGCAUCUAUGAAGUUUUUUCAAAUUCUUUUUAAGUGACAAAACUUGUACAUGUGUAUCGCACAAUAUUUCUAGUCGACAGCACUGCUUUCGAGAAUGUAAACCGUGCACUCCCAGGAACAUGCAGACACCGCACGCCUCUUUGGGACCACGGUUCAUAAUUUCGGAGUGCUCGGAGCCCUUCCUCCAGACCGUUCUCCCACACCCCGCUCCAGGGUCUCUCCCGGAGUUACAGGCCUCGCUGUAGGCCCCGGGAACCCAACGCGGUGUCAGAGAAGUGGGGUCCCCUACGAGGGACCAGGAGCUCCGGGCGGGCAGCAGCUGCGGAAGAGCCGCGCGAGGCUUCCCAGAACCCGGCCGGGGCGGGAAGACGCAGGAGUGGGGAGGCGGAACCGGGACCCCGCAGAGCCCGGGUCCCUGCGCCCCACAAGCCUUGGCUUCCCUGCUAGGGCCGGGCAAGGCCGGGUGCAGGGCGCGGCUCCAGGGAGGAAGCUCCGGGGCGAGCCCAAGACGCCUCCCCGAGCGCGGCUCCAGGACCCCGUCGACCCGGAGCGCUGUCCUGGCGGGCCGAGUCGCGGGCCUGGGCACGGAACUCACGCUCACUCCGAGCUCCCGACGUGCACACGGCUCCCAUCCGUUGUCUUCCGAGCGCAGGGCCGCCCGUGCUUUCUGCUCUGCAGACCCUCUUCCCAGACCUCCGUCCUUUGUCCCAUCGCUGCCUUCCCCUCAAGCUCAGGGCCAAGCUGUCCGCCAGCCUCGGCUCCUCCGGGCAGCCCUCGCCCUGGGUGCGCCCCGGGGCAGGACCCCCAGCCCAGGCCCAGGGCCCGCCCCUGCCCUCCAGCCCUACACCUUGACCCGCUUUCCUGCGUCUCUCAGCCUACCUGACCUUGUCUUUACCUCUGUGGGCAGCUCCCUUGUGAUCUGCUUAGUUCCCACCCCCUUUAAGAAUUAAAUAGAGAAGCCAGACGCAAAACUACAGAUAUCGUAUGAGUCCACUUUUGUGAAGUGCCUAGAAUAGUCAAAAUUCACAGAGACAGAAGCAGUGGUCGCCAGGAAUGGGGAAGCAAGGCGGAGUUGGGCAGCUUGUGUUCAAUGGGUAGAGUUUCAGGCUGGGGUGAUGGAAGGGUGCUGGAAAUGAGUGGUAGCGAUGGCGGCGCAACAGUGUGAAUCUACUUAAUCCCACUGAACUGUAUGCUUAAAAAUGGUUUAGACGGUGAAUUUUAGGUUAUGUAUGUUUUACCACAAUUUUUAAAAAGCUAGUGAAAAGCUGGUAAAAAGAAAGAAAAGAGGCUUUUUUAAAAAGUUAAAUAUAUAAAAAGAGCAUCAUCAGUCCAAAGUCCAGCAGUUGUCCCUCCUGGAAUCCGUUGGCUUGCCUCCGGCAUUUUUGGCCCUUGCCUUUUAGGGUUGCCAGAUUAAAAUACAGGAUGCCCAGUUAGUUUGAAUUUUAGAUAAACAACGAAUAAUUUCGUAGCAUAAAUAUGUCCCAAGCUUAGUUUGGGACAUACUUAUGCUAAAAAACAUUAUUGGUUGUUUAUCUGAGAUUCAAAAUUAAGCAUUUUAUAUUUUAUUUGCUGCCUCUGGCCACCCUACUCUCUUCCUGACACUCUCUCCCUCUCCCAGUUUUGUCCGCCUUCCUUGCCUCCUCUUCUGGGGGAGUUAGAUCGAGUUGUAACAAGAACAUGCCACUGUCUCACUGGCUGCAGCGUGUGGUCCCCUUACCAGAGUGAGGAUGCGAAGAGAAGGUGGCUGUCUGCAAACCAGGAAGAGAGCCCUCACCAGGAACCCGUCCAGCUGCCACCUUGAACUUGGACUUCCAAGCCUCCAGAACUGUGAGGGAUAAAUGUAUGAUUUUAAAGUC